AUCUUUACCUUCAAAAUAUAAAAAAACUUGCUAAAAACCCACUCCAACCUAUCCACUAUAUCUAGACCUUAACCUUAAAUAUUAAAAAAAAGGCACAGUAACUUUUUAUACAUAAAAAGCUACUCUAGCUCUCUAUUUCCAACAACCACAUCUCAUUUCAUCUUCUCCCGCCCCUCUCCUAUACACAUCGAUUACCAGCAACAAAUUCAACCAAACUACUGCACUUGCAAGGUUCGGAUUUGAGGGUUUCUAUUUGAAAACACUUCCGAUUUGUAAACAUUGGCGAUGAUACGGCUUCGGUCACACACAAAAACACACACUUGCUCGGUCCAAUCUACUCAUCAUCAGUCAUCGCAAGUAAUCGAGAGAUCCAAACACUUCGAAUAAGAUCCACACUUGUCGCAUUUCUAUUUCACCUGCCGCGGACCUUGAAUAUGUUCUGAAUUCCGUGAAGAAAGGUGCCGAAGUUGAAUUGUAAUGCAGGUGACGAGCUUGAACUUUCGGAAGCUAUUAGAGAUUAUCAUGAUAGUACUGGAUUGCCUCAUAUGGUGUAAACGAUGAUGACCUCCGUGAAACGGCUUAUGAAAUUCUGUUGGCUGCUGCUGGGGCUUUAUCUACCUAUCUGUACACACACACACAAUUUUAAUCUUGUAUUCUUGGUCAUUUUGCUGUGCUUGGUUCUUUUACAACCCUAGUGCUGCCAGUAUCUUUGGACUGUAAUGUAAUUGUUGUUCAAACAGGGGCCUUAUAGUGCCAUCAAAGGAAAAGAAAAAAGAAAAGAAAUCCAGACUGUUGAAGAAGCUUGGACGGAGUAAGAGUGAACAGGUUACAACCCAACAGUCAACUGGUUUGACUAGCUUGCUGGAGACAAUGCGCGUCCAGAUGGAGGUACAGUGUGAACGAAGGCGUGCCAGAUCUUUUAUAACUGUAAUUUGCUUGAGUUGACUACGCUAUGUCUCCAAAUAGAAAAAAAUAUGCAGACUUAUGGAGAAAAUAUAAUAAGACAAAAUAGAUAGUAGUUAAAAUUGUAAAUUGGAGAAAGAGAAGAAAUGAUAAAAAAAAGAAUAUAGAGAUAGGUAUGGGGUGUUGGAUGUGGGAGGUUUUUUAAAAUAUGAUAUAAAUUUUAAAAAGUAAGCAUUUUUAGUUAAAUUAUAAGGGUAAAGAUGGUGGAUUGGAUGUGAAUGCUCUAAGGGUGCUUUAAUCAUUUUACCUUAAAUACUAAAAUAAAUAAUCAUAAAUAAUAAUAAAUACAUUAACUAUUUUUAAAAAAGAUUAUAUUAAAAAAGAUUGUACAUUCGGUACAUAUAUACACACAUCUGUAUCUCAAUUCUAUCUAUGUCCCUAACUUCCCUUCCACCCCUACAUACCCCCACUGGCCAGCCACCACCACAACCAUCGUCAUCAACACCCACCUGCCACCACACCCCACCUGCAACCACCAUCCACCUGCCACCACUCCCACCUAUUCCCACCGGCCACCACCACAACCACCGUCACCACCACAACCACCGUCACCACCACCCCACAUACUUGAGGGUUUUCAAGUAGUAGUAAUCACUUAACCGGUGCGGCAGGUUAUGACAGCAGCUGUUGAAAGAGGCUGGAACACUUUCAUCUUCUCUUCUAUUCAUCAUCGCGAGAUCGCCACUGAUUGGUCUUGUAAGUCUACAAUUGGUUGAUGCGUGUAACUUGUUCCGAUCGGAUUGUUAAGUCUUUUUGAGGUGUUGAAUUAAUCUAGGUUUAUGUGGAGGAAAAGCUAAAAUUGAGUGUGGAUUGUGUUAUUGGAUGUUGAAAUUAUGUUGAAGCGUGUCAGGAUUUGGAUAUGGAUUUGAUGUAUGUGGUUUCAUCUAGCAUCUUUUAACCCAUGGAUUGGAUAUGGAUUGUGUUACUCUGUUUGUAAAUAUGUUGCAGAGAGAGAGUUAAAAGGAAGUCAGGUUUUAGGAAUCGUUUUAUAGAUUUAGUUUUCGAUUAGAGUUGUUUUUAUCACCAUCUUUUAACCCAUAGUAAUUAUUGUGGGGUGUAGAUACAAUAAUAACAGAGUCUUCUCAUUCGGAUUGAAAUCGUGUUCUUCUGGCGACGCGGCGGAAGCUUCCUGCCGUUAUCGGAACCAACCGAUGGCGGUGGUAGCAGUGGAGGCGGGUGGUGGUUGUGGUUGGGUGGCAGUGGCCGGGUGGUGGUUAUGGUCGGGGGCAGUGGCUAGAGUGGGUGGUGGUGAUGGUGGUGGAAGUAGGUAGUGGUGGUAGGGUAGAGAGAGAGAAAGAGGGAGAGAGACUAUGUAUGUAUCUGUGUAUAUAUUUAUAUUAAAAC